rnacentral:rRNA from 1 species
CCUACGGGUGGCAGCAGUGAGGAAUAUUGGUCAAUGGUCGGGAGACUGAACCAGCCACGCCGCGUGAGGGAGGAAGGUACAGAGUAUCGUAAACCUCUUUUGUCAGGGAACAAAUACUGGGACGCGUCCCCGGAUGAGUGUACCUGAAGAAAAAGCAUCGGCUAACUCCGUGCCGACAGCCGCGGUAAUACGGAGGAUGCGGGCGUUAUCCGGAUGCAUGGGGUUUAAAGGGGGCGCAGGGGGUCUGUUAAGUCAGCGGUCAAAGCCCGGGGCUCAACCCCGACCCGCCGGUGAAACUGGCAGUCUCGAGUUGGAGAGAAGUAUGCGGAAUGCGCGGUGUAGCGGGGAAAUGCAUAGAUAGCGAGCAGAACUCCGAUGGCGAAGGCAGCAUGCCGGCUCCACACUGACGCUGAGGCACGAAAGCGUGGGUAUCGAACAGGAUUAGAUACCCGGGUAGUC